rnacentral:rRNA from 1 species
UUGACUCCUUUUUAUAGUUUACAUACCUUUGUACUGCCUCUGCUUACUGCAGUAUUUAUGUUAAUGCACUUUCCAAUGAUACAUAAGCAAGGUAUUUCGGGUCCUUUAUAG